GUCGCGCCGCAUUUUUAAAAUUCUUUAUAGCGUUAUCCAUUUUUUUUUUUUUUCCGGAAUAAUUUGACAGGUUGGCAAAUCGAUAAUAAUAUGUUUGGAUGUAGGCAAUGAUUAAUUUUUUACCGAUACGGAAUAUAGGAGUUUACUAUGAUGUCUAUGUUUUUUUUUUUUUUUUUUUAUUUAAUGUUUACGUCUGAAAAACAUAAAAAAACAUCCAGCACUCGGCGCAACGGUCGGCGGUGAAAUAUUUUAUGGCGGAAUUUCCAGCGGUGAAACGGCUGCGAUGGCGACGUGGCUGUCCUGGACCCGAAAAAA